rnacentral:rRNA from 1 species
GACGAACGCUGGCGGCGUGCUUAACACAUGCAAGUCGAACGGAAAGGCCCUGCUUUUGUGGGGUGCUCGAGUGGCGAACGGGUGAGUAACACGUGAGUAACCUGCCCUUGACUUUGGUAUAACUUCAGGAAACUGGGGCUAAUACCGGAUAGGAGCUCCUGCUGCAUGGUGGGGGUUGGAAAGUUUCGGCGGUUGGGGAUGGACUCGCGGCUUAUCAGCUUGUUGGUGGGGUAGUGGCUUACCAAGGCUUUGACGGGUAGCCGGCCUGAGAGGGUGACCGGCCACAUUAGGACUGAGAUACGGCCCAGACUCCUACGGGAGGCAGCAGUGGAGAAGAGUGCACAAUGGGCGGAAGCCUGAUGCAGCAACGCCGCGUGCGGGAUGACGGCCUUCGGGUUGUAAACCGCUUUCGCCUGUGACGAAGCGUGAGUGACGGUAAUGGGUAAAGAAGCACCGGCUAACUACGUG